GCCAGGCAUGGUGGUAUGUGCCUGUAGUCCUAGCUACUUGGGAGGCUUAGGUGGGAGGAUGGCUUGAGCCCAGGAGUCUGAGAGUACAGUGAGCUAUAUCUCACCACUGUACUCCAGCCUGGGCAACAGAGCAAGACUCCAUCUCUA
ensembl:misc_RNA Metazoa_SRP Metazoan signal recognition particle RNA